rnacentral:misc_RNA from 1 species
AAAAGUCGUAACAAGGUUUCCGUAGGUGAACCUGCGGAAGGAUCAUUAACACUUUUUAUUAUUUUGUUUUUUUUCUAAAACAAAAUUUAAAACCCCACAAUUUUGGAUGAAUUUAAUUUAUUUAAUUUUUAUUUUAUUUUUUUUAUUAUAACCCUAUUAUUUGACUAACAUUUUUAUUUAAUUAUUAAAAAAUUAAAAAAACAACUCUUAACAACGGAUAUCUUGGCUCUC